GAAAAGAAGUGACUUUGGGGUGAGCUGGGAGAUGCAGAAGAUGCUACUGAUGCCUAACAUCAUCCAUGGCUCUGGGGAGAGCCACUCCAUGGUCUCUAAAGAGAGGACUUGUCCAGAGCUCCUACUCUUUCGGAGGGCUUCCCACAGAGCCACUGAUUCUCAGGCAGGAUCUCACCAAGCUGCUAGAUUGCCCAAGCAGGGCUGGAACUUUUGAUCCUCCUGACUUGGCCCCCGAGAGGGUUGGAAUUACUGGCAUGCACCACCGUGCCCAGCUGAAAACUGCAUUCAUUAAUCUUUGCAUAUGUUGUCUUUGAUGUGCAGUGAUGCCUAAAAGUGACAUCAUCACUCUUGUAAAAUGACAUUUUCUAAAACAUAAGAAAUAACAGCUGAACCAAAUUUUUAUCCCUAAAUAAACACAGAAAAAUUGAA